AAGAAGAACUGGCACAGAAGGAGAGAAACACACUAAAUACACGAGGAAGAUUGUAUUUUUUGCGGUGCUAUAUUGUAGUGCAUUACUACUAAGAGGUAAUUAGGGACAGGUGAAAACAAUUAACGCGACGGGGAACAAUCACAAGCGGGAAACACAUGGGCCGGAAGUGUUGCAGCAUGUAGCUAUGGAGAAGGGCGAGACGUGACAAAGGAAACCGGGGCACCAGCGCAGUGGGGCAGUGCCUUGAAAGUGACCCUUAUGUACCUGAGCAUAUGGUGAAAUCACUGGACAAAUGGAUCCCAAUGUUUGGCUGUCUCCCCUCUCACCUACGGACCCCCGCUGGCGGCGAGGGGCAGAGUGGAGAGGACAUCUUCCAAGUUGCAUUUCUGGCGAUUCUCACCUGUGGAGAGGGUCUCGCAGAGGGAGAACAAAGCACUUAUCUGAGUCAAUUGGAGCGAAUGGGAAACUAACAACUCACCGGCUGGCUGGUUUUAUUGCUUUGUUUGGAGACAAAUCCCGCGAUAUCCUCAGCCGGCGUGGAGCCGGGCGGUGGCAGAGCCUGGUCUUUGAGCUGUUUCUCCACUGCUUGGUUUAUUUUGUAUCGAAUCCUUCCCUUCCUCCGUGAAGCUGUCUGCCAGCACUGAGAUUUGUUUCCAUGGCAGGCUCUAUACCGCCUCAUAAAUCUCAAAGGUGUAAUAGUCUAUGGAGGCUGGACCCACACUUCAAGAUGUUUGCGUGUUAAGAUUUUUGCGCGUGUUUGUAUUAUUUAACAGUGAAUAAUACCAUAGUUUUCGCUAGGACUAAGCAACGAUACUGACAUGAUUUAAUAUUGAAUAAAUAAAUAUUGAAUCUGAUGAGCCUGACCUUUUAAUCCCCGUUGUACAGGUGCUUGUUAAUCAUCUGCACUGUUGCAUUGUGGGUCC
ensembl:lncRNA